AGAGUUUGAUCAUGGCUCAGAAUGAACGCUGGCGGCGUGCUUAACACAUGCAAGUCGAGCGAGAAAGCGGCUUCGGCCGUGAGUACAGCGGCGAACGGGUGAGUAACACGUGGACAACCUGCCUGGAAGUGGGGAAUAACUCAGGGAAACUUGGGCUAAUACCGCAUGUGCACGUAUCGCGCAAGCGAUAUGUGGAAAGGUGGCCUCUUCAUGAAAGCUGCCGCUUCCAGAUGGGUCCGCGCCUGAUUAGCUGGUUGGUGGGGUAACGGCCUACCAAAGCGACGAUCAGUAGCCGGCCUGAGAGGGCGAUCGGCCACACUGGAACUGAGACACGGUCCAGACUCCUACGGGAGGCAGCAGUGGGGAAUAUUGGACAAUGGGCGAAAGCCUGAUCCAGCAACGCCGCGUGGAGGAUGAAAGCCUUCGGGUUGUAAACUCCUGUCAGGUGGGACGAAAACGUUGUGGUUAAUACCCAUAGCUUUUGACGGUACCACCGGAGGAAGCCCCGGCUAACUACGUGCCAGCAGCCGCGGUAACACGUAGGGGGGCGAGCGUUAUUCGGAAUUAUUGGGCGUAAAGGGCGCGUAGGCGGCCAGACAAGUCACGGGUGAAAUCCCUCGGCUCAACCGAGGAACUGCCUCUGAAACUGUCUGGCUUGAGGCCGGGAGAGGGUAGUGGAA
rnacentral:rRNA from 1 species